AGUCGCCCACGGAUCGGGUGAGAUCACGCACUGUAAGGUCGCCAAGACGGUUCCCCACGGAUCGGGUGAGACUGAAUUCACCAAGACGGUUGCCCAUGGAUCGGGUGAGACCAUACGCUGGGAAGUCGUCUAAAUGGUUGCCCUCAGAUAGGGUGAAACCUGCUGCUGGAGAAGUACGCCUUGAAGCACCGGAGCGCUUGGGUCAUGACAGUGGAUUUCGGUUGACG